rnacentral:rRNA from 1 species
GACGAACGCUGGCGGCGUGCUUAACACAUGCAAGUCGAACGGUGACGGGGAGCUUGCUCCCCUGAUCAGUGGCGAACGGGUGAGUAACACGUGGGCAAUCUGCCCCUGACUUCGGGAUAACGCUUCGAAAGAGGUGCUAAUACCGGAUAUGAACCUCGCAGGCAUCUGCGAGGUUGGAAAGUUUCUCGGUCAGGGAUGAGCCCGCGGCCUAUCAGCUAGUUGGUGAGGUAAUGGCUCACCAAGGCGACGACGGGUAGCCGGCCUGAGAGGGCGACCGGCCACACUGGGACUGAGACACGGCCCAGACUCCUACGGGAGGCAGCAGUGGGGAAUAUUGCGCAAUGGGCGAAAGCCUGACGCAGCAACGCCGCGUGA